rnacentral:rRNA from 1 species
CCUGCCUGUACCAUAACCGACACAGGUGGGUAGGUAGAGUAUACUAAGGGGCGCGAGAUAACUCUCUCUAAGGAACUCGGCAAAAUGACUCCGUAACUUCGGGAGAAGGAGUGCCUUAUUUAUAAGGUUGCAAUAACAAGAUCCAAGCAACUGUUUAUCAAAAACACAGGUCUCCGCUAAGUCGUAAGACGGUGUAUGGGGGCUGACGCCUGCCCAGUGCCAGAAGGUUAAAGAAGUUGGUUAGUGUAUGCGAAGCUGAUGACUGAAGCCCGCGUGAACGGCGGCCGUAACAAUAACGGUCCUAAGGUAGCGAAAUUCCUUGUCGAGUAAGUUCCGACCCGCACGAAAGGCGUAAUGAUUUGGAUACUGUCUCGGAGAGAGGCUCGGUGAAAUAGACUUGUCUGUGAAGAUGCGGACUACCUGCACCAGGACAGAAAGACCCUAUGAAGCUUUACUGUAACUUGAAAUUGGAAUUGGACUUUGCUUGCGCAGUAUAGGUGGGAAGCGUUGAAGAUAUUCUUGCGGGAGUAUUGGAGCUAUCAGUGAGAUACCACUCUUGUAAUGUUAGAUUUCUAACUUUGAACCAUAAUCUGGUCAAAGAACAGUUUCAGGUGGGCAGUUUGACUGGGGCGGUCGCCUCCCAAAUGGUAACGGAGGCGUACAAAGGUUUCCUCUGAACGGAUAGAAAUCGUAUCUAGAGUGUAAAGGCAUAAGGAAGCUUGACUGUGAGACCUACAAGUCGAGCAGGGACGAAAGUCGGUCUUAGUGAUCUGACGGUACUGAGUGGAAAGGCCGUCACUCAACGGAUAAAAGUUACUCUAGGAUAACAGGCUGAUCUCCCCCAAGAGUUCACAUCGACGGGGAGGUUUGGCACCUCGAUGUCGGCUCAUCGCAUCCUGGGGCGGUAGUACGUCCCAAGGGUUGGGCUGUUCGCCCAUGAAAGCGGUACGCGAGCUGGGUUUAGAACGUCGUGAGACAGUUCGGUCCAUAUCCGGUGUAGGCGUUAGAAUAUUGAGAGGAGCCUUCUUUAGUACGAGAGGACCGAGAAGGACACACCGCUGGUGUACCAGUUAUCGUGCCAACGGUAAACGCUGGGUAGCUAUGUGUGGAGUGGAUAACCGCUGAAAGCAUCUAAGUGGGAAGCCCACCUCAAGAUGAGUAUUCUGGUGUAAGGUCACGGGAAGACGACCCGUAAAUAGGCACGAGGUGGAAGUGCAGAGAUGUAUGAAGCCGAGGUGUACUAAUAGACCGUCGGC